rnacentral:tRNA from 1 species
GAGGGUAUAGCUUAACUGGAAGGUGCAUGCUUGACAUGCAUGAGGUCCUGGGUUCAACCCCCCAUACCUCCA